rnacentral:rRNA from 1 species
CCUAGUAACGGCGAGUGAAGCGGGAUGAGCUCAAAUUUGAAAGCUGGCCUCUGGUCCGCAUUGUAAUCUCGAGAAGUGUUUUCCGUGCCGGAUUGCGUACAAGUCCCUUGGAAUAGGGCGUCGUAGAGGGUGAGAAUCCCGUACUUGACGCAGGCUCCGGUGCUUUGUGAUACACUCUCCAAGAGUCGAGUUGUUUGGGAAUGCAGCUCAAAAUGGGUGGUAAAUUCCAUCUAAAGCUAAAUAGUGGGGAGAGACCGAUAGCGAACAAGUACCGUGAGGGAAAGAUGAAAAGCACUUUGGAAAGAGAGUUAAACAGUACGUGAAAUUGUCGAAAGGGAAGCGCUGGAAGUCAGCCAUGCCAGUCGAGAUUCAGCCUUGCUUUUGCCUGGUGUACUUUUCGAUUGGCAGGCCAGCAUCGGUUUGGGCCGCCGGAGAAGGGCGAGAGGAAGGUGGCACCCUCGGGUGUGUUAUAGCCUCUUGCUGGAUACGGCGGCCUGGACCGAGGAACGCAGUGUGCCUUUUGGUGGGCCCUCGGGCACCUUCACACUUUGGAUGCU